rnacentral:snRNA from 1 species
AGCUUAGGCUCCCAAAGG